rnacentral:tRNA from 1 species
GCCUGGCUGGCUCAGUUGGUAGAGCAUGUGACUCUUGAUCUCAGUGUUGUGAAUUCAAGCCCCACGUUGGGCC